GCUCAGAUCGAACGCUGGCGGCGUGGCUAAAGCAUGCAAGUCGUACGCGAAAGUCCUUCGGGAACGAGUAGAGUGGCGAAAGGGCGAGGAAUACAUGGGUAACAUACCCCCGGCACAGGGAUAGCCGCGGGAAACCGCGGGUAAUACCUGAUAUGACCACGGCAUCUUAUGAUGCAGCGGUAAAAGGGUGGGGACCUUCGGGCCUACCGGCCAGGGAGUGGCCCAUGUCCUAUCAGCUUGUUGGUGAGGUAACGGCUCACCAAGGCGACGACGGGUACCCGGGGCUGAGAGGCUGAUCCGGCGCAUUGGGACUGAGACACUGCCCAGACUCCUACGGGAGGCUGCAGCGACGAAUAUUGCACAAUGGGCGCAAGCCUGAUGCAGCGACGCCGCGUGUGGGAGGAAGCCCCUCGGGGUGUAAACCACUGUCAGGGACCACCAAGCGACCCGGGCGAAUAGUCCGGGAAGUUGAGGAAUCCCAGAGGAAGUCACGGCUAACUUCGUGCCAGCAGCCGCGGUAAGACGAACGUGGCAAGCGUUGUUCGGAAUCACUGGGCUUAAACAGCACGUACGCGGAUUGUCCAAGCACUUCGUGAAAUCCCUCGGCUUAACCGAGGAAUUGCUUGGUGAACUGGCAGUCUUGACGCCAGGUAGAGGCACACGGAACUCUUGAUGGACCGGUGGACAUGCGUAGAUCUCAAGAGGAACGCCAGAGGCCACACCGGUGUGCUGGGCCUGACCUGACGC
rnacentral:rRNA from 1 species